rnacentral:rRNA from 1 species
GACGAACGCUGGCGGCGUGCUUAACACAUGCAAGUCGAACGGAAAGGCCCUGCUUUUGUGGGGUGCUCGAGUGGCGAACGGGUGAGUAACACGUGAGUAACCUGCCCUUGACUUUGGGAUAACUUCAGGAAACUGGGGCUAAUACCGGAUAGGAGCUCCUGCUGCAUGGUGGGGGUUGGAAAGUUUCGGCGGUUGGGGAUGGACUCGCGGCUUAUCAGCAUGUUGGUGGGGUAGUGGCUUACCAAGGCUUUGACGGGUAGCCGGCCUGAGAGGGUGACCGGCCACAUUGGGACUGAGAUACGGCCCAGACUCCUACGGGAGGCAGCAGUGGGGAAUAUUGCACAAUGGGCGGAAGCCUGAUGCAGCAACGCCGCGUGCGGGAUGACGGCCUUCGGGUUGUAAACCGCCUUCGCCUGUGACGAAGCGUGAGUGACGGUAAUGGGUAAAGAAGCACCGGCUAACUACGUG